rnacentral:rRNA from 1 species
CCUACGGGUGGCAGCAGUCGAGAAUCAUUCACAAUGGGGGAAACCCUGAUGGUGCGACGCCGCGUGGGGGAAUGAAGGUCUUCGGAUUGUAAACCCCUGUCAUGUGGGAGCAAAUUAAAAAGAUAGUACCACAAGAGGAAGAGACGGCUAACUCUGUGCCAGCAGCCGCGGUAAUACAGAGGUCUCAAGCGUUGUUCGGAAUCACUGGGCGUAAAGCGUGCGUAGGCUGUUUCUUAAGUCGUGUGUGAAAGGCGCGGGCUCAACCCGCGGACGGCACAUGAUACUGCGAGACUAGAGUGAUGGAGAGGGGACCGGAAUUCUCGGUGUAGCAGUGAAAUGCGUAGAUAUCGAGAGGAACACUCGUGGCGAAGGCGGGUUCCUGGACAUUAACUGACGCUGAGGCACGAAGGCCAGGGGAGCGAAAGGGAUUAGAUACCCUAGUAGUC